GUGGGGAAUUUUGCGCAAUGGGCGAAAGCCUGACGCAGCAACGCCGCGUGAGUGAUGAAGGUUUUCGGAUCGUAAAGCUCUGUCAGAGGGGAAGAAACUCCUGGGUGAUAAUAUCGCCUGGGCCUGACGGUACCCUCAAAGGAAGCACCGGCUAACUCCGUGCCAGCAGCCGCGGUAAUACGGAGGGUGCAAGCGUUGUUCGGAAUUAUUGGGCGUAAAGCGCGUGUAGGCGGUUGUUUAAGUCUGAUGUGAAAGCCCUGGGCUCAACCUGGGAAGUGCAUUGGAAACUGGACAACUUGAGUACGGGAGAGGGUAGUGGAAUUCCGAGUGUAGGGGUGAAAUCCGUAGAUAUUCGGAGGAACACCGGUGGCGAAGGCGGCUACCUGGACCGAUACUGACGCUGAGACGCGAAAGCGUGGGGAGCAAACAGGAUUAGAAACCCUAGUAGUCC
rnacentral:rRNA from 1 species